CGAGGGAUCAGACCCGAAACCGAGUGAUCUAGGCAUGUCCAGGAUGAAGGUAAGGUAACACUUACUGGAGGUCCGAACCCACAUCUGUUGAAAAAGAUCGGGAUGAGGUGUGCCUAGGGGUGAAAGGCCAAUCAAACUCGGAGAUAGCUGGUUCUCUGCGAAAUCUAUUUAGGUAGAGCGUCAUCCGAAUACCCCGGGGGGUAGAGCACUGGAUGGGUAAUGGGGACCUACAGUCUUACUGAUCCUAACCAAACUCCGAAUACCCGGGAGUACUAUACGGCAGACACACUGCGGGUGCUAAGGUCCGUAGUGGAAAGGGAAACAGCCCUGACCGUCGUCUAAGGUCCCUAAAUAAUCACUAAGUGGUAAAGAAUGUGAGAGUGCUUAGACAACCAGGAGGUUGGCUUAGAAGCAGCC
rnacentral:rRNA from 1 species